AACGCGAAGAACCUUACCAGGGCUUGACAUCCCUUCGACGUUCGGGUAACGCCGGAUUCCCUUCGGGGCGGAAGAGACAGGUGGUGCAUGGUUGUCGUCAGCUCGUGUCGUGAGAUGUUGGGUUAAGUCCCGCAACGAGCGCAACCCUUGUCAUUAGUUGCCAGCAGUAAGAUGGGCACUCUAAUGAGACUGCCGGGGAUAACUCGGAGGAAGGUGGGGAUGACGUCAAAUCAUCAUGCCCCUUAUGUUCUGGGCUACACACGUGCUACAAUGGCCGGUACAAAGAGCAGCGAACUCGCGAGGGGGAGCAAAUCUCAAAAACCGGUCCCAGUUCGGAUUGCAGGCUGCAACUCGCCUGCAUGAAGUCGGAGUUGCUAGUAAUCGCAGAUCAGAAUGCUGCGGUGAAUGCGUUCCCGGGUCUUGUACACACCG
rnacentral:rRNA from 1 species